AAGACCUUCAUGCUGUCUCAGGCCAGCAAGCUUGGAGCAGAGCUGGAGAGGACAUAAUCUUGCAGGCAUCUCCGCACCCACCUAUCUUUGUACCUGCCGCAGUGCUUGGGCCUCCCCCAACUUAUCUCCCAGACUUAUGUUAUUCAUCACUUGGUCCUAACACCCAAUCGGUGCAGCCUGUUUGCAGUAUGUCAGCUGUGAAGGGACCGCGGGAGCCGACGACCGUUUUGGACGAGAACCGUUUUUAUACCCACG